rnacentral:rRNA from 1 species
UACGAAGGGGGCUAGCGUUGCUCGGAAUCACUAGGCGUAAAGGGUGCGUAGGCGGGUCUUUUAAGUCAGGGGUGAAAUCCUGGAGCUCAACUCCAGAACUGCCUUUGAUACUGAAGAUCUUGAGUUCGGGAGAGGUGAGUGGAACUGCGAGUGUAGAGGUGAAAUUCGUAGAUAUUCGCAAGAACACCAGUGGCGAAGGCGGCUCACUGGCCCGAUACUGACGCUGAGGCACGAAAGCGUGGGGAGCAAACAGG